rnacentral:rRNA from 1 species
AUUGAACGCUGGCGGCAGGCCUAACACAUGCAAGUCGAGCGGAUGAAGGGGGCUUGCUCCCGGAUUCAGCGGCGGACGGGUGAGUAAGGCCUAGGAAUCUGCCUGGCAUUGGGGGCUAACGUCCGUAAACGGGCGCUAAUACCGCAUACGUCCUGAGGGAGAAAGUGGGGGAUCUUCGGUCCUCACGCUAUCUGAUGAGCCUAGGUCGGAUUAGCUAGCUGGUGGGGUAAAGGCCUACCAAGGCGACGAUCCGUAACUGGGCUGAGAGGAUGAUCAGUCACACUGGAACUGAGACACGGUCCAGACUCCUACGGGAGGCAGCAGUGGGGAAUGUUGGACAAUGGGCGAAAGCCUGAUCCAGCCAUGCCGCGUGUGUGAAGAAGGUCUUCGGAUUGUAAAGCACUUUUAGUUGGGAGGAAGGGCAGUGAGUUAAUACCUUGCUGUUUUGACGUUACCGAAAGAAUAAGCACCGGCUAACUUCGUG